UGUCCAGUGAUGCCGGGCAGAGCGUGUUGUGUGGUUGGUUGUUUUAACAACAGCACAAAACUACAGGCCUGGAAUAAAACCGUUUGUGUAAUCCACGAAGCUUUGUUGCACAUUGACUGCCCAUGUUUACGGCCAUACGGAUUGCACAGAGUUCCUGGUCGAGCGGAGGACCAAGAUGUGCGUCAAAAGUGGAUGAAACACGUAACCGAGAUGGCUCAUCGCAUGCCAGAUGAUUAAUAAAAUAAUCUUGAAUACCUGACCGUGUCGUAACUACUGCUUCUCUCUCUUGCAUUCGCGCGUUCUCGCUCGUAGUCUCUCUCGCACAGCUCCGAUCAUAGGGCGGGGCUAACUCCUCGCUCUCCUCAUUGGACCAAAUUUCACUUUGUUUUAUUUGAAUAA